rnacentral:rRNA from 1 species
AGAGUUUGAUUAUGGGUCAGAUUGAACGGUGGCGACAUGCUUUACGCAUGCAAGUCGAACGGCAGCGGGGGCUUCGGCCUGGCGGCGAGUGCCGAACGGGUGAGUAAUGCAUCGGAACGUGCCCAUGUCGUGGGGGAUAACGUAUCGGAAGGCACGCUAAUACCGCAUACGUCCUGAGGGAGAAAGCGGGGGAUCUUCUGACCUCGCGCGAUUGGAGCGGCCGAUGUCGGAUUAGCUAGUAGGUGAGGUAAAGGCUCACCUAGGCAACGAUCCGUAGCGGGUCUGAGAGGAUGAUCCGCCACACUGGGACUGAGACACGGCCCAGACUCCUACGGGAGGCAGCAGUGGGGAAUUUUGGACAAUGGGCGCAAGCCUGAUCCAGCCAUGCCGCGUGAGUGAAGAAGGCCUUCGGGUUGUAAAGCUCUUUCGGCCGGGAAGAAAUCGGCCACUCUGACAUAGUCGCUGGAUGACGGUACCGGACUAAGAAGCACCGGCUAACUACGUGCCAGCAGCCGCGGUAAUACGUAGGGUGCGAGCGUUGAUCGGAAUUACUGGGCGUAAAGCGUGCGCAGGCCGUUUUGUAAGGCAGAUGUGAAAUCCCCAGGCUUAACCUGGGAACUGCGUUUGUGACUGCAAGGCUAGAUUACGGCAGAGGGGGGUGGAAUUCCUGGUGUAGCAGUGAAAUGCGUAGAGAUCAUGAGGAACACCGAUGGCUGAGGCAGCCCCCUGGGCCUGUACUGACGCUCAUGCACGAAAGCGUGGGGAGCAAACACGAUCAGAUACCCUGGUAGUCCACCCCUAGACGAUGCCACUAGUCGUUUGCACCGCCAUGUCCUGAGUGACGGAACUAAACGCGUGAGUCGACCGCCUGGCGACUACGGUCACUAGGUUCAAACUCAAAUGAAUUGACGGGG